GCAGUGAAUAAGGCGGACAGACUCCCGGGCUGUUAACAAUAUUACCAACAUCCGGGCUUAUUCAGAUUCUGCUGCGGGCGAAUGUCUGAACUGU